rnacentral:rRNA from 1 species
AUUGAACGCUGGCGGCAGGCUUAACACAUGCAAGUCGAGCGGGGUGAUGGUGCUUGCACUGUCACUUAGCGGCGGACGGGUGAGUAAUGCUUAGGAAUCUGCCUAUUAGUGGGGGACAACAUCUCGAAAGGGAUGCUAAUACCGCAUACGUCCUACGGGAGAAAGCAGGGGAUCACUUGUGACCUUGCGUUAAUAGAUGAGCCUAAGUCGGAUUAGCUAGUUGGUGGGGUAAAGGCCUACCAAGGCGACGAUCUGUAGCGGGUCUGAGAGGAUGAUCCGCCACACUGGGACUGAGACACGGCCCAGACUCCUACGGGAGGCAGCAGUGGGGAAUAUUGGACAAUGGGGGGAACCCUGAUCCAGCCAUGCCGCGUGUGUGAAGAAGGCCUUAUGGUUGUAAAGCACUUUAAGCGAGGAGGAGGCUCUUUUGGUUAAUACCCAAGAUGAGUGGACGUUACUCGCAGAAUAAGCACCGGCUAACUCUGUGCCAGCAGCCGCAGUAA